CCUANGUGUGGCAGCAGUCGAGAAUUUUUCACAAUGGGCGCAAGCCUGAUGGAGCGACGCCGCGUGCGGGAAGAAGGCCUUCGGGUUGUAAACCGCUUUUGUCCGGAAAGAAAGGGCAUCCCCUAAUACGGGGUGUCCCUGACGGUACCGGAAGAAUAAGCACCGGCUAACUACGUGCCAGCAGCCGCGGUAAUACGUAGGGUGCGAGCGUUAAUCGGAAUUACUGGGCGUAAAGCGUGCGCAGGCGGUUCGCUAAGUCUGAUGUGAAAGCCCCGGGCUCAACCUGGGAACUGCAUUGGAAACUGGCGAGCUUGAGUGUGGCAGAGGGGGGUAGAAUUCCACGUGUAGCAGUGAAAUGCGUAGAGAUGUGGAGGAACACCGAUGGCGAAGGCAGCCCCCUGGGCUAACACUGACGCUCAGGCACGAAAGCGUGGGGAGCAAACAGGAUUAGAUACCCCGNUANUC
rnacentral:rRNA from 1 species